AGUGAACGCUGGCGGUAGGCCUAACACAUGCAAGUCGAACGGCCGCACAGUAAGCGCUUGCUCUUACGGGUGGCGAGUGGCGGACGGGUGAGGAAUACAUCGGAAUCUACUUUUUCGUGGGGGAUAACGUAGGGACACUUACGCUAAUACCGCAUACGACCUACGGGUGAAAGCAGGGGAUCUUCGCACCUUGCGCGACUGAAUGCGCCGAUGCCGGAUUAGCUAGUUGGCGGGGUAAAGGCCCACCAAGGCGACGAUCCGUAGCUGGUCUGAGAGGAUGAUCAGCCACACUGGAACUGAGACACGGUCCAGACUCCUACGGGAGGCAGCAGUGGGGAAUAUUGGACAAUGGGCGCAAGCCUGAUCCAGCCAUACCGCGUGGGUGAAGAAGGCCUUCGGGUUGUAAAGCCCUUUUGUUGGGAAAGAAAAGCAGCAGGUGAAUACCCCGCUGUUCUGACGGUACCCAAAGAAUAAGCACCGGCUAACUUCGUG
rnacentral:rRNA from 1 species